AGAAAGGUCUCAGAACCAGUUCCUGCCACGAGUGAGGUGCACUCAAGAGGUGCACUCCUCUUCAACUCUUCUUCGAGGCUCAGAGGCAGCAGCUGCCUUGCUCCACGUUGCUCUUGCAGCAGAGACCAUGUGGUGGAAAGCGCUGGGUGUUGGCUUGCAGCUGUUGGCAGGUUUCUGCAGUGGAGUCACUGUGACGCAGAAGGAACCGUUCAAAUUUGCCCGGAAGGGGACCAAAGCAAGUAUGGAGUGUUCCCACGAUGACAGCACCUACACAACUAUCCUUUGGUAUCGGCAGGAGAGCAACCAUGCAGACAAGCGGCUGGAGCUCAUUGGCUACUCUGUACAUGGAUCUGUGUCUAUGGAGCCAAAUAUGGAGAAAUACAGUAUAGAAUCAACAAAUGUGACACAUGCUUCCCUGUCCAUCACUCCGGAACAAACUACAGAUUCAGCCGUGUAUUUUGCGCAGCCAGUAAGGCACAGCAAGAACUUUCUGCCUCACAGCUGCACAUAAACACUGCAGCUCUGCCAACACUCCCCUUCCUGCCCUCUAUACCACACACACACACACACACACACACACACACACAGACACACCCCAGUCACUUACAGAGUCCUGUUUCAUAAGACAAUGAGAAACAGCAGCACUAUCUGCCACUGUGGGCUUACGGACCCUCCACAUGUGCCUAUUUUCCAGGCACAGUCCUAAAUUUACAGAAGCUGUCCUGUUUCUGAUUUGAUCCCGAAAUGUCCCACUUUUCCUUAAGGUAAAGUAAGGGACCCCUGACUAUUAGGUCCAGUCGUGACCGACUCUGGGGUUGCGGCGCUCAUCUAGCUCUAUAGGCCGAGGGAGCCGGCGUACAGCUUCCAGGUCAUGUGGCCAGCAUGACUAAGCCGCUUCUGGUGAACCAGAGCAGUGCACAGAAACACCGUUUACCUUCCCGCUGGAGCGGUACCUAUUUAUCUACUUGCACUUUGAUGUUCUUUCAACUGCUAGGUUGGCAGGAGCAGGGACUGAGCAAUGGGAGCUCACCCCGUCGCGGGGAUUCGAACCGCCGACCUUCUGAUCGGCAAGUCCUAGGCUCUGUGCCUUAACCCACAGCGCCACCCGUCUCCCUUAACUUUUCCUUAGGAUGCCCCUAUUUUCAUCGGAGAAAUGUUGGAGGGUAUGGGCUUAUGGCCAGCAGCAUUAUUUAUGAUUUUCAAUUGCAUACAUUUCAAUAAUUUUACAAUCAUUUGAACAUUUCAAAACUUGACUUCCUUCCUCCUCUUUCUGUGGUUCCUUAAAAUUAUUUUAAAUAUUUUCUGCAUAUCAAAAUUAAUUUGCUCAUUUAUUCAUCUGCUUUAAAUGUAUACUCUUAUAACACUGCAGGUUAUUACAAUAAUCCUGCCAAUGUUCUUAUCUGUUUAAAAUUUAUUUGUAAAUAUUCAAUAAACCAUUUCCAUUCUUUUAUAAAAAGUUUGUUAUCUUGAUUUCUUAUUUUUCCGGUAAGUUUCGCCAUUUCUGCAUAUCCCAUAAGUUUUUGUAUCCAUUCUCCUUUCGCUGGGACUUCUGCUUCGUUCCAUUUUGGGGCAAGUAACAUUCUUGCCACUGUAGUUAAACACAUUAAUAAAUUUCUAUACAGUUUGGGUAGUUCUGUCCCUAUAAUCC
rnacentral:lncRNA from 1 species